UCAGCUUCAGCCUCAGCCUCGCGCUCCUUCCCUGAGCCGCGCCGAGGGGGUUCUCGCCGCCCCUCGCGGAGCCGGUCCGGGUGCGGCGGUCGCUGCGUGCGCUCGGUCCGCCGCAAUGAAGGCGGGCGGUGAGUGCGGGCCGCGCGGCUCUCCUUCGUUCCCGUCUUCGGCUCCGCGCGGGUCCCUCUGAGAGGGCUCUGCGGGCGGCCCGGGACGCGCGGCGGGAGGCUGCGGGAGGCUGUGGGGCCGCGGCGGGGCGGGGCGGGGCGGCGGUUGGCCCCGAGCCGCGGCGGGCGGAGAUGCGGCAGUGCCCGCUCCGUGCCGGCUGCCGCCGCUCCCUGCGGGGCCGUGAGCCUUCCCGGGCGUUGGGUGAUCGGCGAGAGGCGUUACGCGCCUCCGCCGGAAGGCUGCCGUGAGGAAAAACGCGACGGAGCGCUGUUGGCCGCCUGCGAACGGUGCGAUCCCUCCCUGAGCGCUCCGCUUUCGCUGUGGGAGCGGCGGCUGAGCGCUGCGUCGCGGCCCGGCGCCUCUCGCCCUGCCGAGGCCGUGCGCUUCGUCCCUGCUUCCAGUCCUGGUUUGGAUUCCUGCUGCUCGCUUGCCGACUUGCAGCGGGCUUUGGGGCUCCCGAGUGCAGGCAGAGCCCGGCUGCUCGCGGCAGCCGUCGCCCUGUGCCGUCCCAGCGGAUGGACGGCCGGCCGGCCGGCGGGAGGGGCUUCGGGCCCCUUUUCUGUCUUCCGCCGGCGUGACUCGUGUGUUCUUCCUGGCUUCGCCUCACCUCCUCGGUCGUUUGCCUCUCUUGGCUGCCGUGCUGAGGGUAAGCUCUCCAGCAGGAAAGGAAGGCUGGUGCAGGCAGCGCCCCGGUCUGUGAGCGCGGCGAGCGGUUCGCUGCCGCUGUUCCAGAUGCUUCUGUUUCCCUUCCAAGCGAAGGCUAAGGGAACGGCCCCGCGUCCUGCCGUUGCUAAGUGUGCCCGAGGAUGCUGUGCUUCAUGCUGUGCCUUCGCCUUCCUGCUGAGGAGCUCCUCUGGCUCGGAGCGGUGAGUGCCGGCCCCUCCUGCAGUGCGCUGCCUUAUUUCUGCCCCCGGGAGCCAGAACUGCAGGCGGGAACGCCUGCGUCCGCGGAGGCGUGAGGAGAGCCAAAAAAACCAUGCAGUAGGUAGCUAUUUGCUGGCCUAGCGGUCAGCUUGCUCACUACUGCAACCUCCAAGACUGGCAGCAGUAUUUGUGUGUUUUGUGUCGAGUUUCUGUGGGGAUGGUCCUUCCGGCUCCCCGUGACUGGCAAAGUGAAUUUGGUUUGGCGUCUCUUGCUGUAGUGAUGGCUAGCCAGGGAAGGAGCUGUGAUUAAUGAGCUCCCUACCUAAAAUUCAAUGGUG
rnacentral:lncRNA from 1 species